GAUGAACGCUGGCGGCGUGCCUAAUACAUGCAAGUCGAGCGAACAGACGAGGAGCUUGCUCCUCUGACGUUAGCGGCGGACGGGUGAGUAACACGUGGAUAACCUACCUAUAAGACUGGGAUAACUUCGGGAAACCGGAGCUAAUACCGGAUAAUAUAUUGAACCGCAUGGUUCAAUAGUGAAAGACGGUUUUGCUGUCACUUAUAGAUGGAUCCGCGCCGCAUUAGAUAGUUGGUAAGGUAACGGCUUACCAAGGCAACGAUGCGUAGCCGAACUGAGAGGGGGAUCGGCCACACUGGAAGGGAGCCACGGUCCAGACUCCUACGGGAGGGAGCAGUAGGGAAUCUGCCGCAAUGGGCGAGAGCAUGACGGAGCAAGGCGGCGUGAGUGAUGAAGGUCUUCGGAUCGUGAAACUGUGUUAUUAGGGAAGAACAAAUGUGUAAGUAACUAUGCACGUCUUGACGGUACCUAAUCAGAAAGCCACGGCUAACUACGUG
rnacentral:rRNA from 1 species